rnacentral:tRNA from 1 species
CAAAAUGUAGCUUAAUCAAAGCAUCUCGCUUACACCGAGGAAAUUCCCGUUGGACCCGGGCCAUUUCGA